rnacentral:rRNA from 1 species
UGCGGUUAUACAAAAAUUAAAUUAAAUUUUUUUAGGAUUUAAUAAAUAAAAUUUAAAAUUAAUAAUAAUUUAAAUUUUAAAUUAUAAAGUGAAAUUUUAAUUUAAUUAAAAUUUAUUUAUUUUUAUGAUAUUAAUAAAUUUUAUAAAAAACUAGGAUUAGAUACCCUAUUAUAAAAAUUUAAAUUAAAAUAAUCUUAAAAUAGUAUAUAAUUUUUUAUAGAAACUUAAAUAAUUUGGCGGUAUUUUAGUUCAUUUAGAGGAAUCUGUCUAAUAAUUGAUAAUCCACGAUUAAAUUUACUUAAUUUUUAAUUUUGUAUAUCGUUGUUAAAAAAAUAUUUUUUAAUAAUUUUAAUAUUUUAGAAUUUAUAUAAAAAAUUAAAUCAGAUCAAGAUGCAGAUUAUAAUUAAGAAUAAGAUGGAUUACAAUAAAUUUUAUUUAGUUUGAAUAUUAAUUUGAAAUAAGUUAAUUGAAAUUGGAUUUAAAUGUAAUUUUAUUUAUUUUAAUAAAAUGAUUAAAAAUUAAAAUAUGUACAUAUUGCCCGUCGCUUUCAUAAAUAAAUUGAAAUAAGUCGUAACAAAGUAGAGGUACUGGAAAGUGUUUCUAGUAAGAU